AGUGAACGCUGGCGGUAGGCCUAACACAUGCAAGUCGAACGGCAGCACAGUAAUAGCUUGCUCUUACGGGUGGCGAGUGGCGGACGGGUGAGGAAUACAUCGGAAUCUACUUUUUCGUGGGGGAUAACGUAGGGAAACUUACGCUAAUACCGCAUACGACCUACGGGUGAAAGCAUGGGAUCUUCGGACCUUGCGCGAUUGUAUGAGCCGAUGUCGGAUUAGCUAGUUGGCGGGGUAAAGGCCCACCAAGGCGACGAUCCGUAGCUGGUCUGAGAGGAUGAUCAGCCACACUGGAACUGAGACACGGUCCAGACUCCUACGGGAGGCAGCAGUGGGGAAUAUUGGACAAUGGGCGCAAGCCUGAUCCAGCCAUACCGCGUGGGUGAAGAAGGCCUUCGGGUUGUAAAGCACUUUUGUUGGGAAAGAAAAGCAGUAGGUUAAUACCCUGCUGUUCUGACGGUACCCAAAGAAUAAGCACCGGCUAACUUCGUG
rnacentral:rRNA from 1 species